UGGGGAAUUUUGGACAAUGGGGGAAACCCUGAUCCAGCCAUCCCGCGUGUGCGAUGAAGGCCUUCGGGUUGUAAAGCACUUUUGGCAGGAAAGAAACGUCUCGGGCUAAUACCCCGGGAAACUGACGGUACCUGCAGAAUAAGCACCGGCUAACUACGUG
rnacentral:rRNA from 1 species